rnacentral:rRNA from 1 species
GACGAAGGGGGCUAGCGUUGUUCGGAAUUACUGGGCGUAAAGCGCGUGUAGGCGGUUGUCCAAGUUGGAUGUGAAAGCCUUGAGCUCAACUCAAGAAAUGCAUUCAGGACUGGAUGACUAGAGGACCGGAGAGGAUAGUGGAAUUCCCAGUGUAGUGGUGAAAUACGUAGAGAUUGGGAAGAACACCAGUGGCGAAGGCGGCUAUCUGGACGGUUUCUGACGCUAAGACGCGAAAGCGUGGGGAGCAACCAGG